AUAAAACCAAGCUUGGAAGCAGAUAAACCAGUUGAAGACAUACUCACGUAAGCAUAUAGGCAUGGGUCAAUUUGCUUUGGGUGUUUGUUAAUGUUCUCAAAUGUGAUAUAAUAAAUAUGUUUUACAGGUAUGAGGAAUUUCAUCCUUUCUUGUUUUCUCAACAUUCACAAUGUCCAUAUAUAGAAUUUGAAUCAUUUGACAAGGCCGUGGAUGAAUUUUAUUCCAAGAUAGAAGGCCAGAAAAUUGACUUAAAAGCUUUACAACAGGAAAAGCAAGCAUUGAAGAAAUUAGAUAAUGUUCGAAAGGAUCACGAAAACAGAUUGGAAGCUCUUCAGCAGGCUCAGGAAAUAGACAAACUGAAAGGAGAGCUCAUAGAAAUGAACCUACAAAUAGUUGACAGAGCCAUUCAGGUAGUUCGAAGUGCUUUAGCUAACCAGAUAGAUUGGACAGAAAUUGGGUUAAUUGUGAAAGAAGCCCAGGCUCAAGGAGACCCUGUUGCAAGUGCAAUCAAAGAAUUAAAACUACAAACAAACCAUGUUACAAUGCUGCUAAGAGGAGGAAGAUGAUGAUGUUGAUGAUGACGUCAAUGUUGAGAAAAAUGAAACUGAACCACCAAAAGGAAAAAAGAAAAAACAAAAGAGUAAACAGUUGCAGAAGCCUCAGAAAAAUAAGCCCUUACUUGUAGAUGUUGAUCUCAGCUUGUCAGCAUAUGCCAAUGCCAAAAAGUAUUAUGAUCACAAGAGAUAUGCUGCUAAGAAAACACAAAAGACUGUUGAAGCUGCUGAGAAGGCAUUCAAAUCAGCAGAAAAGAAAACAAAGCAAACAUUAAAAGAAGUUCAGACUGUUACCUCUAUACAAAAAGCAAGAAAAGUAUAUUGCUUAGGAUUCAGCUUCUUAAGUCUGAUCACAGCCGGGCACGGUGGCUCACGCCUGUAAUCCCAGCACUUUGGGAGGCCGAGGCGGGCGGAUCACGAGGUCAGGAGAUCGGGACCAUCCUGGCUAACACAGUGGACGAGAUCAGCAACAGAAUGAAAUAAUUGUGAAAAGAUACUUGACACCAGGAGACAUUUAUGUACAUGCUGAUCUUCAUGGAGCUACUAGCUGUGUAAUUAAGAAUCCAACAGGAGAACCCAUCCCCCCACGGACCUUGACUGAAGCUGGCACAAUGGCACUUUGCUACAGUGCUGCUUGGGAUGCACGAGUUAUCACUAGUGCUUGGUGGGUGUACCAUCAUCAGGUAUCUAAAACAGCACCAACUGGAGAAUAUUUGACAACAGGAAGCUUCAUGAUAAGAGGAAAAAAGAAUUUUCUUCCUCCCUCAUAUCUAAUGAUGGGGUUUAGCUUCCUUUUUAAGGUAGAUGAGUCUUGUGUUUGGAGACAUCGGGGUGAACGAAAAGUCAGAGUACAGGAUGAAGACAUGGAGACACUGGCAAGUUGCACAAGUGAACUCAUAUCAGAGGAAAUGGAACAAUUAGAUGGAGGUGACACUAGCAGUGAUGAGGAUAAAGAAGAACAUGAAACUCCUCCUGUGGAAGUAGAACUCGUGACUCAGGUUGACCAAGAGGAUAUCACUCUUCAGAGUGGUAGAGAUGAACUAAAUGAGGAGCUCAUUCAGGAAGAAAGCUCUGAAGAUGAAGGAGAAUAUGAAGAGGUUAGAAAAGAUCAGGAUUCUGUUGGUGAAAUGAAGGAUGAAGGGGAAGAGACAUUAAAUUAUCCUGAUACUACCAUUGACUUGUCUCACCUUCAACCCCAAAGGUCCAUCCAGAAAUUGGCUUCAAAAGAGGAAUCUUCUAAUUCUAGUGACAGUAAAUCACAGAGCCGGAGACAUUUGUCAGCCAAGGAAAGAAGUAGAGAUGGGGUUUCACUGUGUUAGCCAGGAUUGUCUCGAUCUUCUGACCUCGUGAUCCACCCACCUUGGCCUCCCAAAGUGCUGGAUUACAGUCAACCAACCAGUCAACAGAUGUUUUAUUGAAUGCCUAAGACCUGCCAACGCUAUGUUGGUACAAAGACUACAGAUCCCAGUGCCUGGCCAUCAAGGGAAAUGAAAAAGAAAAAACUUCCAAGUGACUCAGGAGAUUUGGAAGUGUUAGAGGGAAAGGAUAAAGAAAAGGAAAGUACUAUACACAUUGAAACUCAUCAGAACACAAGCAAAAAUGUUGCGGCUGUGCAGCCAAUAAAACGAGGACAAAAGAGUAAAAUGAAAAAAAUGAAAGAAAAAUACAAAGACCAGGAUGAAGAAGACCGUGAACUUAUCAUGAAAUUGCUGGGGUCUGCAGGUUCAAACAAAGAAGAAAAAGGGAAGAAGGGGAAGAAAGGAAAAACAAAGGACGAACCUGUGAAGAAACAGCCCCAGAAACCCAGAGGUGGACAGAGGGUCUCUGACAACAUUAAGAAAGAAACUCCGUUCCUUGAGGUUAUAACUCAUGAGUUACAAGACUUUGCUGUAGAUGAUCCACAUGAUGACAAGGAAGAGCAAGAUCUGGAUCAACAGGGAAAUGAGGAAAACCUGUUUGAUUCUUUGACAGGCCAGCCACAUCCUGAAGAUGUACUACUGUUUGCCAUUCCAAUAUGCGCCCCUUACACCACCAUGACAAACUACAAGUAAGUUACCAUUAGUUGACAGAACGGCUUUUGUGGAUUGUUUUGUAACAUCUAUUUAGUAACACAUGUAAUUCCUUUUUAAAGAUACAAAGUGAAACUUACUCCUGGAGUGCAGAAAAAGGGAAAAGGUAUUUAAAUUUGUUUUUUUGAAUUAUGAUUUUAAACAGUUCAGUGACUUAACAGUAGAUUAUUCUUACUCUUUUUUGUAUUUACAGCUGCAAAAACAGCCUUGAAUAGUUUCAUGCAUUCCAAAGAAGCAACAGCAAGAGAAAAAGACUUAUUCCGCAGUGUAAAGGACACAGAUUUAUCAAGAAACAUUCCUGGCAAAGUGAAAGUGUCUGCACCCAAUCUUCUGAAUGUAAAAAGGAAAUAGCUGAAAUGAAAUUCUAAAAUAUUUGAGAAGAACCAAUUUUAUAGCCUUUUGGAAGUUCAAAGAUGAAAGCACCACGUAUCAGGACUUCCACAUUAUAAAAAUGAACUAAACAUUGCCUUGCUAUAUUCACCAAAAGGACUUAAUUCUUGUUUUUUUCCCAGUUUUAUAUAGAGGAAACACUGUCUAUGAUAGGAUUUCCUAAAGUAUUUGUGGACAGUUAAAUGCUAAUUAUAUACAUCUGUAGUUAUUCUACAUUUUCUUGAAAUUUGGGAGGUUAAUACCAAGUAUUCUUUUCAUGAUGUAAAGAAACUGAACAGUGAAGUGGCUUGACUGCUUAAACUAUUGGCUUGGUAAGUCUACUGUAUAUAACAUCUAAAUAUAUAUUACAGGCCAGCCACAAGGGGUUUAAAUAUUUAGGAUUGUGUCUUGAAAACUAAGUAUUGGAGUAGAUUUUCUUCUGCUUUCAUCGAUACUUGUCAAAAAAUAUAUUAGACCAAAAUGUAAAAUAUAAGU
rnacentral:sRNA from 1 species